rnacentral:tRNA from 1 species
AACUUAAAUAGUUUAAAAAAAAUUUUAAUUUGUGGAAUUAAAGAUAUGACUAAUCAUUUUAAGUU